rnacentral:rRNA from 1 species
AGAGCGAACGCUGGCGGCAGGCCUAACACAUGCAAGUCGAGCGGCCGUAGCAAUACGGCAGCGGCAGACGGGAGAGUAACACGUGGGAACGCGCCCUUCGGUUCGGAAUAACUCAGGGAAACUUGGGCUAAUACCGGAUACGCCCUUACGGGGAAAGAUUUAUUGCCGAAGGAACGGCCCGCGUCCGAUUAGCUUGUUGGUGAGGUAACGGCUCACCAAGGCGACGAUCGGUAGCUGGUCUGAGAGGAUGACCAGCCUCACUGGGACUGAGACACGGCCCAGACUCCUACGGGAGGCAGCAGUGGGGAAUAUUGGACAAUGGGCGCAAGCCUGAUCCAGCCAUGCUGCGUGGGUGAUGAAGGCCCUAGGGUUGUAAAGCCCUUUCGGCGGGGAAGAUAAUGACGGUACCGCAGAAGAAGCCCCGGCUAACUUCGCGCCAGCAGCCGC